rnacentral:rRNA from 1 species
AACGAACGCUGGCGGCAGGCUUAACACAUGCAAGUCGAACGCUCGUAGCAAUACGGGAGUGGCGGACGGGUGAGUAACGCGUGGGAACGUGCCCUGAGGUACGGAAUAACUGCGGGAAACUGCAGCUAAUACCGUAUGAGCCCCGUGAGGGGGAAAGAUUUAUCGCCUUAGGAGCGGCCCGCGUCGGAUUAGCUAGUUGGUGGGGUAACGGCUUACCAAGGCUUCGAUCCGUAGCUGGUCUGAGAGGACGAUCAGCCACACUGGGACUGAGACACGGCCCAGACUCCUACGGGAGGCAGCAGUGGGGAAUCUUGCGCAAUGGGGGCAACCCUGACGCAGCCAUGCCGCGUGAAUGAUGAAGGCCUUAGGGUUGUAAAGUUCUUUUGCCCGUGACGAUGAUGACGGUAACGGGAGAAUAAGCUCCGGCUAACUUCGUGCCAGCAGCCGCGGUAAAGUAGUCGUG